UGGGACCUGAUUCCACCAUGAAGUGUGGGCUUCUCUUCUGUAUUUUCCUAUGUCUCCUGGAGACAGCCUUCAUGAACACUAAAAUUACCCAAACACCAAGAUAUCUGGUCAUGGGAAGAGCAAAUAAUAACUCUUUGGAUUGUGAACAACAUCUGGGAGAUAAUGCUAUGUACUGGUAUCAACAGAAAGCUGGGAAUCCCCCGGAGCUCAUGUUUCUUUACAAUCUUAAAAACCUGAUUCGAAAUGAGACUGUGCCCAUUCGUUUCUUACCUGAAUGCCCAGACACCUCCAAGUUAUUCCUUCAACUGUCUGGCCUGGAGCCAGAAGACUCAGCUGUGUAUUGGUGUGCGAGCAGCAAGGACACAGCCCUGCAGAUUCAUCAGCUCUCUGUACACAAACCUACAAGUUCAGGAAACUGUGGGACAACUGAGGGCUUCACUGAACAUUUCCUGUAG